rnacentral:lncRNA from 10 species
CAUCUCAAAAAAAAAGGAGGAGGAGGAGGGGGAAGGGGGAUGGGGGAGGAGGAAGGAGGAAGGAGGAGGAGCAGCCACCUCCCACCACCACGCCACCAAUUCUUCCAAGAGGAGUCAGGGAAUACUACUUCCCAGAGACAGUUCUGAGCUGACUUUUGUCUUGACUCUUGAAAGAGUAGUUUGUCAGACCAACACCUGGCAGAGAGGAUAGGGCACGCCCCCAGGGAACAGGAAGCUUGUGUGCUGAGGGUCAAAACUUCUAGGGUGCUGAGGGAGAUGCCAAGGAUUGGCUGUAGCUAAAGCAUAAGGAGCAAGGCAGGGGUAACAUGAUGCAAGAAGGCCAGGGAGGCAGGACCCAGAGCAUGGGGAAGUCUUUUUCUUUUUAUUUCUUUUUUCUUUUUUCUUUUUCUUUCUUUCUUUCUUUCUUUCUUUUUUUUUUUUUUUUUGGAGGCAGAGUCUCUGUAGC